rnacentral:rRNA from 1 species
AACGAACGCUGGCGGCAUGCCUAACACAUGCAAGUCGAACGAGACCUUCGGGUCUAGUGGCGCCCGGGUGCGUAACGCGUGGGAACCUGCCCUUAGGUUCGGCAUAACUCCCCGAAAGGGGUGCUAAUACCGGAUAAUGUCUUCGGACCAAAGAUUUAUCGCCUUUGGAUGGGCACGCGUUGGAUUAGCUAGUUGGUAGGGUAAAAGCCUACCAAGGCGACGAUCCAUAGCUGGUCUGAGAGGAUGAUCAGCCACACUGGGACUGAGACACGGCCCAGACUCCUACGGGAUGCAGCAGAGGGUAAUAUUGGACAAUGGGCGAAAGCCUGAUCCAGCAAUGCCGCGUGAGUGAUGAAGGCCUUAGGGUUGUAAAGCUCUUGUACCCGGGAUGAUAAUGACAGUACCGGGAGAAUAAGCUCCGGCUAACUCCGUG